rnacentral:rRNA from 1 species
UACGUAGGGUGCAAGCGUUGUCCGGAAUUAUUGGGCGUAAAGAGCUCGUAGGCGGUUUGUUGCGUCGGCUGUGAAAUCCCGAGGCUCAACCUCGGGUCUGCAGUCGAUACGAGCAAACUAGAGUGUUGCAGGGGAGACUGGAAUUCCUGGUGUAGCGGUGAAAUGCGCAGAUAUCAGGAGGAACACCGGUGGCGAAGGCGGGUCUCUGGGCAACAACUGACGCUGGAGGAGCGAAAUGCCGUGGGGAGCGAACAGG